GCUCAAUGAUGAUAUAAAGGCUAAUGUGACUUGACCAGCUGGGUUGCACCCUCAGCCCAUUCCUGUAACAUGGGUCUGUAAUCUUGGUGGACAAUGCAGAGCGGUGCGUGUUCGCUGUAAGGGCAGGCCGACAGAAAAUCCCCUUCCCCGCGUCCCUGGAAAAUACGUCUUUGGGAUGCAUCAGCUCCGAGCAAGCGUUUCUCUGAGCUGACGGGGGGCUGUUGGGGAUAGGAUAGGACAGCGCGCCUGAGGUUUGGGCUGCAGGGGGUAGCCCACGUUACAGCUGGCGAGAUGUGAGCACACGUCUUUGGUAAUCUGAUGACU
rnacentral:snoRNA from 1 species